UGGCGGCGUGCUUACACAUGCAAGUCGAACGGAAAGGCCCCUUCGGGGGUACUCGAGUGGCGAACGGGUGAGUAACACGUGGGUGACCUGCCCUGCACUUCGGGAUAAGCCUGGGAAACUGGGUCUAAUACCGGAUAGGACCGCAUCGUGAGGAUGUGGUGGAAAGUUUUUUCGGUGCAGGAUGGGCCCGCGGCCUAUCAGCUUGUUGGUGGGGUAAUGGCCUACCAAGGCGGCGACGGGUAGCCGGCCUGAGAGGGUGGACGGCCACAUUGGGACUGAGACACGGCCCAGACUCCUACGGGAGGCAGCAGUGGGGAAUAUUGCACAAUGGGCGCAAGCCUGAUGCAGCGACGCCGCGUGGGGGAUGAAGGCCUUCGGGUUGUAAACUCCUUUCAUCAUCGACGAAGGGCUCACUUGUUGUGGGUUUGACGGUAGGUGGAGAAGAAGCACCGGCUAACUACGUGCCAGCAGCCGCGGUAAUACGUAGGGUGCGAGCGUUGUCCGGAAUUACUGGGCGUAAAGAGCUCGUAGGUGUUUUGUCCC
rnacentral:rRNA from 1 species